CCCAGUCAGAGGUUAAAUUACCUCUCAAUGUAAACAAGCGAGCUGUCGUAAAAUUAUCUGAGAGUUUAUGAAUGAAAAGAAUACUGACAUUGUUUUGGUGUCAUCUGUGCUGUGUUGAAAGUGACCGCGCAGAGGUGACCACACACACUUUGGAGGCAGGAUCAAGUUAGCUAACGGCAGCUCGUUUUAUUUGUAUUUUGUUUAACCUUUAUUUAACUAGGCAAGUGAGUUAAGAAUAAAUGUGUAUUUACAAUGACGCCCUACCCCGGCCAAACACGGACGACGCUGGGCCAAUUGUGCGCCGCCCAUGGGACACCCAAUCACGGCCGGAUGUGAUACAGCCUAGGUAACGUCAUAACUCUGUUCGGGUGGGUAUAAUUUGGAAAGUUCCAACAGGAAAUCUGUUCUAAAAAAGUAAAGUACAAGGUUGCCAACAAACAACGCAUACAAAGUAGCACGAUCAACUCACCACGUAGCUUAUUCUCAAUGUUUGUCUAUGGGCUACCAGAGUGAGGACAGACAUUUUCGGAAUAAACGUGGUGAGUGAAAGAUUGAAUGAUAUAGCCCUCUCCCUACACAACUCUGUAUGCAGUGUUUGUUGACAACCUUGUUAUUUACUUUUUUGGAACAGAUUCUUGUUGGAUUUCCGGUGGUUGAAGAUAUCCCUCUAGUGGUGUGGGGGCUGUGCGGUUAUAUCCUUCCUGUUUGGCCCUGUCCGGGGAUGUCCUCGGGUGGGGCCACAGUGUCUCCUGACCCCUCCUGUCUCAGCCUCCAGACCUGAGCCCUAGGACCAUGCCCCAGGACUACCUGACAUGAUGACUCCUUGCUGUCCCCAGUCCACCUGGCCGUGCUGCUGCUCCAGUUUCAACUGUUCCACCUUAUUAUUAUUCGACCAUGCUGGUCAUUUAUGAACAUUUGAACAUCUUGGCCAUGUUCUGUUAUAAUCUCCACCCGGCACAGCCGGAAGAGGACUGGCCACCCCACAUAUGCUCUCUCUAAUUCUCUUUCUUUCUCUCUCUCGGAGGACCUGAGCCCUAGGACCAUGCCCCAGGACUACCUGACAUGAUGACUCCUUGCUGUCCCCAGUCCACCUGGCCGUGCUGCUGCUCCAGUUUCAACUGUUCUACGUUAUUAUUAUUCGACCAUGCUGGUCAUUUAUGAACAUUUGAACAUCUUGGCCAUGUUCUGUUAUAAUCUCUACCCGGCACAGCCAGAAGAGGACUGGCCACCCCACACCCCCCUGGUUCCUCUCUAGGUUUCUUCCUAGGUUUUGGCCUUUCUAGGGAGUUUUUCCUAACCACCGUGCUUCUACACCUGCAUUGCUUGCUGUUUGGGGUUUUAGGCUGGGUUUCUGUACAGCACUUUGAGAUAUCAGCUGAUGUACGAAGGGCUAUAUAAAUAAAUUUGAUUUGAUUUGGAACGUUCCACAAAUUAUACCAACCCAUUCUGUUAACAUUUUUUUGUUACAUCUAGGCCUAUCUUCCCAAUUUAAAAAUAUAAAAAUACACUGUACAAAAUUAUUUAUUCACAGAAUUGUUAAAGCUACUGUAGCGUAAUAGCAACAGCUAAAGUUAACUAACUAGUAGACCUGGUAUGUCGCGCGACAACAGCAACAAGUUCCCUCUGCCGCCUUUUUAUUUUAUUUUUUUACCAAUGUUUAGUGACUAGUUUCAAUAUACUUAACUUUCAUAACUCACCAAAAUAAAGUUGUUGCUAUAUUGCAGGCAAACCUUU